rnacentral:lncRNA from 1 species
UUCCAGGCUCAAGCGGUCCUUCUACCUCAGCCUCUGGAGCAACUGGAACCACGGGUGCACCCCACCACGCCCAGCUAACUUUUGUAUUUUUUUGUAGAGACAGGGUUUUGCCAUGUUGCUCAUCCCAAUAUCAUCACCAGAUGAGAAUAUGUAUGGAUUCAUGAACAAGAAAAUUGCUUAACCAUUUGAUCAAGAGAGAUUGGAAAAUCAAGAUGAAGCAGGUCUGGGUGAAAGAGCUGUGAAUGGAUUAAUGGAACAGAAAGGAGGUGUGGAGAUCCUUCUAUUACAUGUUAAUGAUCACCAGGGAACAUCCACUACAAUAGAACAUCCCACUAAAUCACCAGUAGACACAAGAGAAUAUGUGGCCAGUUGACUUUGGCCAGCCUCUGUCAUUAGAUGUCAAUGUUCAAACAACGGUACAUGAAUGGCAUAGCCCUGGUAGCAGGAGUGGGGGCUAUGCAUGGAUCCAGCAAUACACACUCCCACUCCACAACAUUGACCCAGCCACCAAGGCUGACAAAAUAUUCAACCUUCCAGCAACAGAAACCAAGGAUGACCCUUAUCCCUGCCCAGGGCCUCAGCUGGCACCAGCAUCUAAAGGCUUAGAGAGUUAGUGAUCCACCAACAUGGCAUCUCACAUAACAUCCCAUCAAACCAAGUGACCCACUUUACUAGAAAUGAGGUGCACGAGUGGACAAGCUCCAGCUUGACCCAAGUGGAACAAGCUCUACUAGUCCCAUCAGAUCAUGCACCAUCCAGAAGCUGCCACACUAACAGAGUGAUGGAAAGGCCUGUUGAAGGCAUAGUGGAUGAGCCACACCAUUGCAAGGUAAUGUCAUCGGAGGUUUAUUUAGCAUGUGUAUUACACCCAGAAGAAUGGUGUCCCAUCCUUGCAAGGUAAUGUCAUCAUCAGAUUCUCCUGGGUGUAAUAUACAUGCUAAACAAACAAUCAUUAUAUGAUGCUGUGUCCCCAAGAGGUAAAAUAUGUGGGAGCUAAGGAGUGGAAGCAGCAAUAGCCUCACUUACCAUCAAUACAAUUGACUCCUUAGGGAACUUGUGCCUAGGCUCUGUGGGUUUAGAGGUCCUGGUGCCCAAAGGAGAUGUGCUUCCAUCAGGGAAUACAACAAGCAUUCAAUUGAACAUGAGGUUAAGGCUGCCACUUGGGAGCAUCAGGCUCCUCAUGCCAAGAGAUCACCAAGCAAAAAGAGGAAUCACCGUACCAUGAGCAUUAAUCAAUCCCAUUCUUCAGAAGGAGAUGGGACUGCUGACACAAGGCCACAGAGAGGCCCCCAGAUAACUUGCCUGGGUGUCCCUUAGAAUUCCCUUGCCCAUUUUUUAAUAAUAGAUGGAUAAAUGCAACAGUCUCCACCUAACAAAGGCAUAAUGAUGGGACUUCUCAAGAGUGAGAAGCUAGGUCAUUCCACCAGCCAAGUAGACCAGCAGAGGUACCAAAAAGAGACAGGAAAUCUAGACUGUAAAGUAAAACAGGAAGAUUCCCCAGGAACAGAAGCCAACUGUGAUCCUAGAGGAGCUUCUCCUUAACAUGCAGAAAGAAGUGGAUCCAUGAAGCACAAGAGCUGAGCUGUCAUGGAAACUGCACAUCUCAAAUUUCCCAUCAGGACUGAAGGACCUAGUCCCCCACAGGCUGAAGACAGUCACCUUACCCAACUUCAUGCUCUCUUCCAGGGGCAGCCUGCAUCCAACAACUUGUCAGCACAGGACUAUAAAGGCCUUACCCUUUGCCUCUGUGAAGCAUCCCACAGAGAGGUGCAUCCACCUCUGAAGGUACAUCCCAGCUUCAGGCUCCCAGUCACUUUGGGCUUACCCAGCCUCUUCGUCUGCCCUGCUUUUCUCCCUCCCCUUCCUUCCUGCAGGUUUGGAUCCUGAGAGCACUCCCUAAUAAACCUCAUGCCCACAAAUCUCUAUCUUGGAAUCUGCUUCUUCGGAACCAAAUCUGGGACAGAUCAAUUUACAAAGAUAGAAGGGUUUAGGAAGGCAAAAGGGUUUCUGUUACCAUGUCUAGGCCUGAAGGGACAAAGAGAGGAACUUGGAGCAAGAGCCAUAUGGAAAAAACAAUCUGAAAGAUUGUAGGGAUUCUGGCAGAAGCACAAGGCCAAGCCCUGGCAAUCCCCACCUCACAUCCCUCCGCUCUUUCAUCUCCCCUUAGUGCCUCCCAUUGUAGAACCAAACUGGAAGUGGUGGUCAGUGGAUUCCUUUGUCUGUUUCUUAUAGGUCAGCCUCCUGGGGCAGAGAGCAUGUUAGAGUGUGGAUUUGGAGGUGCAAAUGAAAGUUACCCUGUAGCCCACUUGACUCUGUAGAUUUCUUUUUCUCUUACAGAAAAUAAAUUAAAUUAUGUAUCUUCUUUAGAGAUAGGGUAUGACUUCUAUUUUGAGUUAUCUGUGUCAUUUAAUUAAUAUACAAAUAAAAUGACAUGACAGAAAAUACUUACUUGAAUACAAAGGACAAGUAAUUAGAUCUUAGAUAAUAAAUCCAUCCCUUUAGAUAAGACUUUAGGCAAAUGGAUUUAUAAGUAAAAGCAAUAGGAAAACUUGCUACCUAAGCAUGAAAAAUGAUGUUCCUGAUAAAUUCCUGGAAGGAAGCUGGUGUCAGCCCCCAACUCCUUUCUAGGCCUCUACCAGCCUAUAUUCCAAAUGGCCCUGCCAUGGCUCUUCUUUUCUUAAGAUUUGAUCUUUCUCCAGGCAUGGAUGAACCACAUGUAAGACAUUUAAACAGCCCAGGUGCCAAAUUUAGUAGGGCUUAGGAUUACACAACAUUCCCAAACCUGGGAUCUGAAGGGCCAGGUGCUGACCAACAGGAUCCCAAAUUCAUCCCAGGGGCUCUUUGACCGAUAACCAGAAUGUGAAUUCAACUGCUGGAUGACCCCAUGCAAAGCUCUCCCUGGCGCUGAGUAAUCCAGUUCCCUUUUCAUUAAAAGCCAUCUACUUUCCCAGGAGGGGGAAUCCUUCUGCACAGCCCAUUCCUAUGACUAAGCUCUGUGUUCACAAGGAAGAUCUCCUCUCAGUCCUGCUAUGCCCCCACUGCUGAGCUUGGAACCCCAAUACUAAGUAUAGCCUGUGUCACAAUUGUUCUUGCUGAGAUCUUCUACUAUUGCCUGAACACAACUCAUUCCUGAUCCCCUCUAGUGAGUAUGUCCCUGGCCAUUUUUCAGCACUUUUAUCCUCUUUUCUUGCUCUGAGUUUUCAUGGACAGGGUAUCUAGGAAAAGGAAAAGGAAGAAGGAAUAAAUCAAAUGCCUACAGACCUUCAAAGAGUGCUCCAAAGCCAGUGUAAAGCACUGGGGAACAGUGAGGAUUAGGGCAAAAUAUUUCUUAUAAUGUUCUGAGUUUCAUGAGUUGAAGGCUUUAGUGCUUAAUGUCCAAAUGAUGCAAAUGAAAACACCCUUUCAUUCUUCUUUUCCUUUUUAAAAAACAAGGAAGAAGACAGUCAAAGCCUCAGUCUAUACUAUAUUUACACUUGACUCAAAUGCAUUAAUAACAUUGUAGACUAAGGAGGUAUCUGGGGGAAAAAUAGUUUUGUGAUUUAACUGUAGUGCAAAUUUUACCUAGUAAAAGGUUUUUGAUAUUUAUCCUCAGAGAAGAUCUA